rnacentral:rRNA from 1 species
UACGUAGGGUGCAAGCGUUGUCCGGAAUUAUUGGGCGUAAAGAGCUCGUAGGCGGUUUGUCGCGUCGAAUGUGAAAACCCGGGGCUUAACCCCGGGCCUGCAGUGGGUACGGGCAGACUAGAGUGCGGUAGGGGAGACUGGAAUUCCUGGUGUAGCGGUGAAAUGCGCAGAUAUCAGGAGGAAUACCGAUGGCGAAGGCAGUUCUCUGGGCCGUAACUGACGCUGAGGAGCGAAAGCGUGGGGAGCGAACAGG